AUGGCCACCACCGCGCGCCCGCUCGUCUCCGUCAAGGCCCUGGACGGGGACAUGCCCACCGACGCGGCCGGCGUCCCGAUGCCGCACGUCAUGAAGGCACCGAUCCGCCCCGACGUCAUCACCUUCGUCCACAGGCUCGUCUCCUGCAACAGCCGCCAGCCCUACGCCGUCUCCCGCAAGGCCGGUCACCAGACCUCGGCCGAGUCCUGGGGCACGGGUCGCGCCGUCUCGCGUAUCCCGCGUGUCGGCGGCGGCGGCACCCACCGCUCCGGCCAGGGAGCCUUCGGCAACAUGUGCCGUGGCGGGCGCAUGUUCGCGCCCACCCGGAUCUGGCGCAAGUGGCACCGCCGCGUCAACAUCCGCCUCCGCCGCGUCGCCGUCGCCUCCGCCCUCGCCGCCACCGCCGUCCCGGCCAUCGUCACCGCCCGGGGCCACCGCAUCGAGUCCGUCCCCGAGUUCCCGCUCGUCGUCUCCGACUCGGCCGAGGGCAUCGAGAAGACCUCCCAGGCCGUCAAGGUCCUCAAGCAGCUGGGCGCCUACGCUGACGCCGACAAGGCCAAGGACUCCGUGGGCAUCCGCCCCGGCAAGGGUAAGAUGCGCAACCGCCGGUACAUCAACCGCAAGGGCCCCCUCAUCGUCUACGCCACCGAGGGCUCCAAGAUCGUCAAGGCCUUCCGCAACCUCCCUGGUGUGGAUGUUGCCAACGUCGAGCGCCUCAACCUGCUCGACCUUGCCCCUGGUGGCCACCUUGGCCGGUUUGUGAUCUGGACCGAGUCUGCCUUCAAGAAGCUGGACGAGGUGUACGGCUCCUUUGAGGCGUCUUCCUCCAAGAAAAAGGGCUUUGUCCUCCCCAGGCCCAAGAUGACCAAUGCUGACCUUGGUCGCCUCAUCAACUCUGAUGAGGUCCAGUCUGUGGUCAAGCCCAUCAACAAGGAGGUGAAGCGCAGGGAGGCCAGGAAGAACCCUCUCAAGAAUGCUGCUGCCGUGCUCAAGCUCAACCCCUACUUCGGGACUGCCCGCAGGAUGGCAGUUCUUGCUGAGGCAGCCCGUGUCAAGGCCAGGAAGGACAAGAUCAACUCCAAGAGGACCAAGCUCAGCGUGGAGGAGGCAUCUAAGAUCAAGGCUGCUGGGAAGGCUUGGUACCAGACCAUGAUCUCUGACAGCGACUACAUGGAGUUCGACGUCUUCUCCAAGUGGCUCGGCGUCAGCCAGUGA
rnacentral:rRNA from 1 species